UAACCAUCCAGAGCGGCUAAGAGAUCUGGCUCGACGACGCCGCAGCAACCACCCUGUACGGGGAAGGUGCUACCGCCAGAACCGAUGGAAG
rnacentral:ncRNA from 2 species